rnacentral:rRNA from 1 species
GAGUGCGUAAUAGCUCACUGGUCGAGUGACUCUGCGCCGAAAAUUCAACGGGGCUAAAACCUGCACCGAAGCUUAGGCAUCCGCAAGGAUGGGUAGGGGAGCGUUGUGUACGAGGCGAAGCAUUAGCGAAAGCGGAUGUGGAUUGUACACAAGUGAGAAUGCCGGAAGAAGUAGCGCGAAUGAUGUGAGAAUCAUCAUGGCCGAAAGCCUCAGGUUUUUGGAGGAAGGUUCGUCCGCUCCAAGUUAGCCGGGAGCUAAGGUGAGGCCGAAAGGCGUAGCCGAUGCACAUACGGUAGAGAUUCCGUAGCCGCCGAAAGAUUUAAGCAGGGGGACACAUUUGAAGUGUUGGUGCCGGGUGUUGGUUUACCCGGUCGAAAGGGACUGAAAUUUAGUAGGGAAGUCCAGCAUGGAGAGUGGCGAGAAAAGCCCUGUGUAUAUCUAAGGCGCCCGUACCGCAAACCGACACAGGUAGGUAGGAAGAAGAUUCUAAGGCCAACGGGAGAAGGGUUGUUAAGGAACUCGGCAAGUUGACCCCGUAACUUCGGGAGAAGGGGUGCUCAUGAAAGUGAGCCGCAGAGAAUAGGCCCAAGCAACUGUUUAGCAAAAACACAGGUCUGUGCUAAAUCGAAAGAUGACGUAUACGGGCUGACACCUGCCCGGUGCUGGAAGGUUAAGGGGAUGUGUGCAAGCACUGAACCGAAGCCCCAGUAAACGGCGGCCGUAACUAUAACGGUCCUAAGGUAGCGAAAUUCCUUGUCAGGUAAGUUCUGACCCGCACGAAUGGUGUAAUGAUUUGGGCACUGUCUCAACAGCCCGCCCGGCGAAAUUGUAGUACCGGUGAAGAUGCCGGUUUCCCGCGACAAGACGGAAAGACCCCAUGGAGCUUUACUGCAGCCUAAUAUUGGGUUUCGAUAUUACAUGUACAGGAUAUGUGGGAGACAUGGAAGCACGGGCGUCAGCCUGUGUGGAGUCAGCCUUGGGAUACCACACUUGUGAUAUUGGAAUUCUAACCUGCGGCCCUGAAUCGGGUCGGGGGACAUUGUUAGGCGGGCAGUUUGACUGGGGCGGUCGCCUCCGAAAAAGUAACGGAGGCGUUCAAAGGUUGGCUCAGCUUGGACGGAAACCAAGCCAAAGAGUGCAAACGCAUAAGCCAGCCUAACUGCGAGACUGACGGGUCGAGCAGUAACGAAAGUUGGAGUUAGUGAUCCGGCGGUAUGUGAGUGGAAAUGCCGUCGCUCAACGGAUAAAAGUUACCCUGGGGAUAACAGGCUGAUCUCCCCCAAGAGUCCACAUCGACGGGGAGGUUUGGCACCUCGAUGUCGGCUCAUCGCAUCCUGGGGCUGUAUUCGGUCCCAAGGG